rnacentral:rRNA from 1 species
GUGAAAAUCCAUGAGCUCAAACCUAUGGAUGUGCGCCCGAAACUGACCGGGCUCGGAGAGCGGUAAGAGGAGAUAGGAAUGCCAUGGUGUAGCGGUGAAAUGCGGUGAUAUCAUGCAGAACACCGGUGCCGAAAGGCGGAUCUCUGGAACGCAUGUGACGCUGAGGCGCGAAAGCAGGGAGAGCAUACAGAGAUUAGAUACCCCUAGUAGUCCCUGCCUUAAACGGUGCACACUUGGGGCGGGGGGAUUUCACCCCCCCCCCGUCCCGGAGCUAACGCGUUAAGUGUGCCGCCUGGGGAGUACGGCCGCAAGGCUAAAACUCAAAGAAAUUGACGGGGGCCCGCACAAGCAGAGGAGCAUGUGGCUUAAUUCGAUGCAACGCGAAGAACCUUACCCGGGUUUGACAUGCAGCUGCACGUCCUAUGAAAGUAGGAUUCCUUCGAGGGUGCUGCACAGGUGCUGCAUGGCUGUCGUCAGUUCGUGCCGUGAGGUGUUUGGUUAAGUCCAGCAACGAACGCAACCCCUGUGUCCAGUUGCCAUCAGGUAACGCUGGGGACUCUGGACAGACUGCCCGUUCACGCGGGAGGAAGGUGGGGAUGACGUCAAGUCAGUAUGGCCCUUACAUCCGGGGCUUCACACGUCCUACAAUGGCCGGUACAAAGGGAAGCGAUGCCGCGAGGCGCAGCCAAUCCCCAAAACCGCCCCCAGUUCGGAUCGGGGUCUGCAACCCGACCCCGUGAAGCCGGAUUUGCUAGUAACGGCGCAUCAGUUACGGCGCCGUGAAUACGUUCCCGGGCCUUGUACACACCGCCCGUCACAUCAUGAAAGCCGUCUGCACCCGAAGUCGGCGCGCCUACCUGCAAGGGGAGCAGCCGC